GCCGGGAAUGGUGGUGCAUGCCUGUAAUCCCAGCUACUCGGGAGGCUGAGGCAGGAGAAUUGCUUGAACCCGGGAGGCGGAGGUUGCAGUGAGCUGAGAUCGCGCUACUGCACUCCAGCCUGGGCAACAGAGCAAGACCCUGUCUCAA
rfam:Homo sapiens chromosome 12, GRCh38 reference primary assembly.